UCGAGCGCGUAUUUAUACGAGCGGCAGACGGGUGAGUAACGCGUGGGAAUCUACCUUUUUCUACAGGAUAACGCAUGGAAACGUGUGCUAAUACUGUAUACGCCCUUUUGGGGAAAGAUUUAUUGGAGAGAGAUGAGCCCGCGUUGGAUUAGCUAGUUGGUGGGGUAAAGGCCUACCAAGGCGACGAUCCAUAGCUGGUCUGAGAGGAUGAUCAGCCACACUGGGACUGAGACACGGCCCAG
rnacentral:rRNA from 1 species